CUACCUUGAGAGUUUUGUUGUAAUUUAAUUUUCACUUGGUUAGAGUUCUUCCUUGAGUAACUUCCUCAGUUGAAGAAGGGUUGCCUUCACACCCAUUGGCUUUUUUUCCUUUGGUACCGCGGUCCUUGCGCUUGCGCAGCAGGUGUUGAAACCACUGAGCUAAAUCCCUGACCACACCCAUUGGCUUUUGCAUUACUGGAAUAGACUAACUCAUGUUUCAGGAAUCACGAAUCAACAUCCGCUCUUCCAAAGAAGUCUCUUGUUUUUUGCACGCAAACUUCGCUGCUGGUCCUCAGGGACUCGACAGGGAAGCUGCCCUCCACGUGACAGCUCUGUGCUGGAGUCUGUGUCAACACCAACUGGCCAGAUCACAACUAAACGGGGGAGAGAGUGCCGGGAAGUCCACUACUAUCAAACGUUUCUGCCCCCAGAACGAAGAAACGUUACACCGGGAGGCCGCUGGGCCCCCAAGCCUGGGGAAUAGAAAGCAGAUGUUGUCCUCGAUGCGUAAGCCCUCGCAGUCUCGCUGCAGCCUCCUGUGCUGUGUCUUCGUGGAAGAAGUGCAAUCCUCAUUUCAGACUCCACAAAGCAAAGGGACUGCAGGAGAAAAAGCUCAUGGGCUAGAGUGCUUUACCAGGAUCUCAUUUCCCUCAUGGCAAAAUGAGGUGGAUCAUAUUGGGUGGUACUGAAGACCCUUGGAGUUGGGGCACCUGUGAAGGAAGACAGCAGAAAAAUGAUUUAAUUGCCCUUGGAAAGCUGUCAUCAGGAAAUCAGAGGAGCCCAGUAGGAGGAACGCAUGACGCAGCCUGGAGGCAGGAGGGAGGCUCCCCAGAGGAGGUGACAUUUCAUCUGAAGUGAAGAGCAUGUGGAGCGGGCCAGCAGUGGGGAGUGGAGGAGCGCUUCAGGUGGAGAAGAAGAGGGCUCACCAGGCCUGGGGACUGGCCCAACUCCACCACCAGUGACAGGGUGAACCGGGACCAUGUCCAGGCUGGGCCUCUUUCCAGACAUCCUACUGCCCAGGGUAGCAUUCCACAGCUUCCUUCACUCUCAGCAGUUAUAUCGGGAACCCUGAUCCAGGUUGGGCGGUAAGGAAAAGCACAACAGGAAGCUUCUUAUCAGAAGGGACAGUGAUAAAAGUUCUUUUUCAUAAAAAAUUGUCUUCAUUUCAUCUCAUCCCCAAACACACCAUUUUAUAGGUAUGUGCAUACCACGCCUAGAGAUUUGGACUUACAAGACAGUAACUUUCCAGCCCCUUGGGUGGGAACAUGCCUAUGAUUAAUGGAUAUGCCACCUUGAAAUUUCUCUGUCUCCCAACACUGGCCUUCCUCCCCCUCCCAGAGUGAGAAAUGAGGACUGAUGCUGGGACUGUGAAAAAACACCAGCUGGCUAGGGACUGGGGGUUUGGGGCCAGAGCUUGGAUUAGGGAUGGCCAGCUGCUAGGUGGCACAAGAGUGCUUCAGGGUCACCCAUUUGUCUCAUCCUUGGACAUCUGGGGUAAACUCGUGCCUGUCCCUGACUUUGUGAAGUGCCUGCAUUAUCUACAGCCCAGAAGAAUGUCUAAAUGGAAUCCAGCUGACUGGGGGCUUCUGUAUCAGCCCGGGAAAAGCAGGCAGUGGCCUGGGCUCCCCAGACACCUUCAGCCAGGGGAGAUGAGGCUGGGAAAUUACCAACAAGAAGAUGCUGGUUUAAGGGGUAGUCACCAAGGCUGGUGGCCCUAGGCCCAGGAAUUUUUCUGCACUUUGCUGAAGUCUAUUUUAGGGCUAGUAAAAUGCAGUAGUUCUAUUUCAUCAGGGCAGGCCACUCACAGAUGGGCAUAAUGUGCCAUGCAUAGGGGUCUGUCUCUGGAGCCAGUGUUCAAGUCUGUGCCUCCCACCUUCCUGGCUAGCUAUGUGACCAUCAGCAGUUUGGUAAUUGGUGUGUUCUGUCUUCCUCCUCUGGAGAAUGGAGGGGUGUUGGUAUUUCUCACCUCAGUCCUGUGCAGAUACACAGUGAGUGCCCACAAAGUGCUCAGAACAGCUCUGGCACAUUGUAGACUUCAUGGAGGCAUUGGCAGGCUUUGGGCUUUGCAGCCAUUGGCUGCCAAAUCCUCACAGCAGAUCCUCCCCCUGGUGAGUGAGUUGGAGAUGGGUGAGGCCCGAUUACUUAGCUCUGAAGACUGCUUUCUGCUGGGCCAGACCAAUUUCACAUCCUUUCAGUCUCACCUGAGAUCUUUCUCUUCCUUUUCCCAUCGGAUGGGUGCAUGGAGAGAUGAAUGAGAUUACUUCCUGGGCAUCUCCUGUGUAGGAAGAAGCAGACACCUGCCUCACCUCCGAAGACAGUGUGUGCUUCGCUGUAUAAAAUGGCCCAGUGUGCAACCCCUGGGUCAGGCUUCGUGGUUUGCUUCUUAUCUUGUUCUUGGUGCCUGCUUCCUGCGAUGUGCUUUUCCUUCUUCUUUUCCAUCUUCACAGCAUCCGCUCUGGGUGGGCAGAUGGUGAGGGACUUGGACAGUGUGGAGAGCUCCUCAAUGUUGGAGCUGUGCAGAUAUUGGAGGCCUUGGCCAUUGCUAUUCCUGAAGAUCAUGCUCUAAUAAAAUACUGGGGGGAAAGCCAAGCAACAUGGUACCAUUGGUGGGAUUUAAAGCUGGCUGGUGAUCAUGCCUUUCCUUCAAGUCUGGCAGUGCUUGUGUGAGGCCAUACAUUAUCCACUCCUUUGUGUCCUUCUAGAACUUCUAAUGAGGCCCUCUGGGAGUGUGCCAUGGGUUACAGCUUUGACACUACUUCUGGCCAAGUGAGGGCUGAUCUGCUUGGGCAGGACUGUGCCUCUUGUCUUCAGCAUGCUGGGCACACUGAGAGAACCCUCUGAAAGAGACAGGGACUUUCCCCCCCUCUUCCUGGGAUGCUUGGGGGCCCCACCUCCCUGGCUUUUCUCAGCUGUGGGCUGCCUGGCUUUCCCAGAGCUUCCAUCCCUAGAGCUCCAUAAGGCCUGUAGCUAGCGAGGCUUACAACCACAUCUUGUCUUCCUUUAGGCACCAGAAUGUUCCCGUUCCAUACCUGGUCUCCUCUCCUUUGGUAGUGAGCAUCAGGCUCUGCCUGUGUCUCAUCUCAGUAUCUACAGCACCCAGCCCAGUGUCUGGCAGAGAGCAGGUGCUCAAUAAACAUUAAGGGAUGAGUGAAUGCCAGGUCCUAUGUUUCAUGCACCCAGGACUGCAAACUUGAGGAGCAAAACCAGGAAGUGGAGCUCACGAUUGCAAUUCCAGAUCAGUCAUAUGCUUCUUUGUAGCACAGAGUCAGUUAUGUAACUCUGAGCAGCGGGAGAGAGGACUUUGGGAUUAUUUGCUGACCUGUUGGUGAGCAUCGGCCCAGAUACAGCCUGCAGGAGACGGCCAGCUCUUCAGAAGACAGAACAAAGAAACACUGGUCUGAAAUCAUCAUUGUUUUCUUGCUCAACUUACUCCAUUUGUCCAGAAUUGUUUCAUCCCUUCAGGAGCUAAUAAUGUCCCUCCUCGUUGGAGAAGGAGUGUAUUAAGAGGGCUCAUUUGAGGUUAAAAGAACAAAAUGUCUCCUGAAGUCUUUUUCAUUUUACAGAAGAGGACAUUGCUUAAGUUUAUGUGACUAAUCAGUAAUUGCACUUCCAGCUGCAAGUAUGGAGCAUUUACUGGAUAGGAGGCACUAAUGUUAGCAUCUGUUAUCAUAUAUAACCCUGGUUGAGACAAAUUUAUGGCUUGGGUUCUAUUAUUCCCAUCUGACAGAGGUAGAAACAGGCUCAGAGAAGCACAGUAACUUGCCCUAUUCCGUCUCAUUACAUAAGGGUAGAGCCUGAAUCUGAGCCACGUGGUUCUCAGCCCAUAGGAUCUACACACUAGAAUUGCUGCUGAUGUUUGAAGAGAAGUCACACCAGACAUGGCCAGCUAGGACCCCCUAUGUUCUAAGAAAGCUCCCCACAAGUUCUGAUAUGCCUCCCCCCAACCCCUGUUCAAGAACCUCAGUGUUAAUUAUUCACCCUUUCUGAGCCCUAGGUCUUUUCAUUGAACAACAGAGGCCUCUGGAACCCAGGACAUCUUGCAAAAGUCCAAAAGAGCCAACGCCUGUGUGAAAGUUUGGGGCUGCUCACAAUUGUUGACUUCCCUAUCCCAGGGAUCACAGAGUGCCCGGAGGGCCUUGGGUCUCUUGUGUGUGUGCAUGACCCCACUCUGCCAAAGACCCAGAACACUGUUUUCUGGGCUUCGGGGUUCAGUUUCCUGAUUGUUUGUUAUUCUUCUUAAUAGAAUUCAGGAAAAGGCCACGAGUGGGCCAGACAUCUGUGAUAAAUCUGCUGGGGUUUUUACAGGGAGAACUUCCCAAGUUCGCUGUAUUCUAUAUUCCUUACUUGUCUUUCCAGCUACCACUUAGCCAGGAAAGUAUCUUGCUUGAACUGAGGAGGAAAAAUGUCCAGCCUGUGAAGCUCUGGUGAAAGCUGACUUUGGAAAUGUGAGUGUGGUCGAGCAGUGUGCAAAAACCUCUGGAGGCCCUGUCUGGAAGGCCCGGGGAUCUUCACGGCAGACUUCCCGUGUCCAGACCUUGUCUCAAACGCUUCGCCUGGGGGCGGGAGGGCAGCAUCCCACUGUGUCACAGGUGAGGAAACUGAGGCUCAGGCAGGUGACGUGAUAUACCCAAGGCCCUGCACCUGGUGAGCAGGGAGCAGCUUCACAGCCAGUUGGUGUGACUUCGAAGCCGGUGGCCCUCUCUGUACUGCCACUGUCUGUCCAGGCUUCUAUUUGUCUCCAUUAUUUCCAAAUAGCCUUAAAUUAAUUUUAUGAUAAAAGCAAACUCUUUUCUUUUUUUGACAGUGCUAGGGAUCGAAUCUAGGACUUUCACACUGAGCUACAGCCCUAGUCCUCCCUGCUUUUUAUAAAAUCUUGAGACAGGGUCUCACUAAGCUCGUAAAUUACUCAGGAUGGUUUACAUUUUGGAUCCUCUUGCCUCAGCCUCUCAGAGUCCUGGGAUUAUAGGUGUGCAGCACCAUGCCCAGCUAAAGCAAACAAAAUUUUAAACAUUAUCCUCAAAAUAGAUAAAAAUAUUUCUAAAAUGUAACAUUCUUGUAAUGCUUUGUAUUGUCAGUACCUGCUACAUGUUUGACACUAGCGGAUGUGUAAUAAAUGAUUAAUGAUUGGAUAUACAAAUAGAUGAGUCCAUAUCUGCUACUAUUUGUUUUUAAAACAUCUCUUUGUCUGGGCACAUGCUCAUAAUACCAGCUACUCAGAAGACUGAGGCAGGAGGAUUGUGAGUUUGAGGCUAGGUUAGGCAACUAAACAAGACCCUGUCUCAAAAUAAAAAUUUAAAAAAGAGGUGGGGAAAUACUUCAGUAGUAAAGUGCUUGGGGGCCCUGGGUUCAAUCUCUA